UACGAAGGAUCCAAGCGUUGUCCGGAUUUACUGGGUUUAAAGGGUGCGUAGGCGGGCUAUUAAGUCAGUGGUGAAAGCCGAUCGCUUAACGAUCGAACUGCCAUUGAAACUGAUAGUCUUGAGUAUGUUUGAGGUUACUGGAAUAUAACAUGUAGCGGUGAAAUGCUUAGAUAUGUUAUAGAACACCAAUUGCGAAGGCAGGUAACUAAGUCAUAACUGACGCUGAGGCACGAAGGCGUGGGGAGCAAACAGG
rnacentral:rRNA from 1 species